GGGAGACCAUGGGUGGAGGUGAUACGGUGAUAACCUGACUGAUGAUGGCUGGCAAAAAAGGAAGAAAAUGGCUGAGAACCAGCAGCUGAAGAAAGCAAGAAAAUGUGAAUGAAGUCACAAAUGCCACCAAGGAAAAGCAGAACAGAAAAAUAACUUGAGUAUUCAAGAUGGGCAGACUAGUUCAAAGACUCAUCAAGCCUUGUGAAGGGGUGACUCCGAGGCUCAGAUGCUGCCCAAGCCAACCAGAAUUUACCAAGUUCCAAGAAUGACCUUAAAUUCCAAAUCCUUCUGCCCCCAUCAUCUGAGUGCUGGGUUACAGUUGUGUAUCACCACACCUGCCUCUCACCUGGGUCUUUAAAACAAAAGACAGAAGAAGGAAAGGAAGGAAGGAAAAGAAAGAA
rnacentral:lncRNA from 1 species